AACGGAGGAUGCAAGUGUUAUCCGGAAUCACUGGGCGUAAAGCGUCUGUAGGUGGUCAAAUAAGUCAACUGUUAAAUCUUGAGGCUCAACCUCAAAAUCGCAGUCGAAACUAUUCGACUAGAGUAUAGUAGGGUAAAGGGAAUUUCCAGUGGAGCGGUGAAAUGCGUAGAGAUCGGAAAGAACACCAACGGCGAAAGCACUCUGCUGGGCCGACACUGACACUGAGAGACGAAAGCUAGGGGAGCGAAUGGG
rnacentral:rRNA from 1 species